CAGAGGAUAGUCUAAUUUAUGAUUACAGCUUUGGGAGUUGUGGAUGAAAGUUCGAUUCUUUCUCCUUUGA
rnacentral:tRNA from 2 species